rnacentral:rRNA from 1 species
UAUUGGUCAAUGGGCGCGAGCCUGAACCAGCCAAGUCGCGUGAGGGAGGACGGCCCUACGGGNUGUAAACCUCUUUUGCCGGGGANNCCNNNGNGCCACGUGUGGCGCCACUGAGAGUACCCGGAGAAAANNNANANACUAACUCCGUGCCAGCAGCCGCGGUAAUACGGAGGAUGCGAGCGUUAUCCGGAUUUAUUGGGUUUAAAGGGUGCGUAGGCGGAUCGUUAAGUCAGUGGUCAAAUUGAGGGGCUCAACCCCUUCCCGCCAUUGAAACUGGCGUUCUUGAGUGGAAGAGAAGUAUGCGGAAUGCGUGGUGUAGCGGUGAAAUGCAUAGAUAUCACGCAGAACCCCGAUUGCGAAGGCAGCAUGCCGGCUUCCGACUGACGCUGAAGCACGAAAGCGUGGGGAUCG